CGUGGCUCAGUUCAGAUCGUAGGCUGCAACUCGCCUACGUGAAGGAGGAAUCGCUAGUAAUCGCAGGUCAGCAUACUGCGGUGAAUACGUUCCCGGGCCUUGUACACACCGCCCGUCACACCAUGGAAGUUGGCCACGCCCGAAGCCGUUACUCCAACCCUUGUGGAGGAGGACGUCGAAGGUGGGGCUGAUGACUGGGGUGAAGUCGUAACAAGGUAGCCGUACCGGAAGGUGCGGCUGGAUCACCUCCUAA
rnacentral:rRNA from 1 species